rnacentral:rRNA from 1 species
GACGAACGCUGGCGGUGUGCUUAACACAUGCAAGUCGAACGCUGAAGCUCAGCUUUUGUUGGGUGGAUGAGUGGCGAACGGGUGAGUAACACGUGAGUAACCUGCCUCCUUCUUUGGGAUAACGCCCGGAAACGGGUGCUAAUACUGGAUAUUCACUGGUCUUCGCAUGGGGGUUGGUGGAAAGGGUUUUUCUGGUGGGGGAUGGGCUCGCGGCCUAUCAGCUUGUUGGUGGGGUGAUGGCCUACCAAGGCUUUGACGGGUAGCCGGCCUGAGAGGGUGACCGGUCACAUUGGGACUGAGAUACGGCCCAGACUCCUACGGGAGGCAGCAGUGGGGAAUAUUGCACAAUGUGCGCAAGCCUGAUGCAGCGACGCCGCGUGAGGGAUGGAGGCCUUCGGGUUGUGAACCUCUUUCGCUCAUGGUCAAGCCGCAACAAUGGUUGUGGUGAGGGUAGUGGGUAAAGAAGCGCCGGCUAACUACGUG